AUUGAACGCUGGCGGCAUGCUUUACACAUGCAAGUCGAACGGUAACAGGCCGCAAGGUGCUGACGAGUGGCGAACAGGUGAGUAAUGCAUCGGAACGUGCCCAGUCGUGGGGGAUAACGCAGCGAAAGCUGCGCUAAUACCGCAUACGAUCUAUGGAUGAAAGCGGGGGACCGUAAGGCCUCGCGCGAUUGGAGCGGCCGAUGUCCGAUUAGGUAGUUGGUGGGGUAAAGGCUCACCAAGCCAACGAACUGUAGCUGGUCUGAGAGGACGACCAGCCAAGCUGGGACUGAGACACGGCCCAGACUCCUACGGGAGGCAGCAGUGGGGAAUUUUGGACAAUGGGCGCAAGCCUGAUCCAGCAAUGCCGCGUGCAGGAAGAAGGCCUUCGGGUUGUAAACUGCUUUUGUACGGAACGAAACGGCUCUCACUAAUACUGGGGGCUAAUGACGGUACCGUAAGAAUAAGCACCGGCUAACUACGUGCCAGCAGCCGCUGUAACAC
rnacentral:rRNA from 1 species